UGUGAGGCAUGCAGUUUUGAUCAUUUUUAUUGGGAAAUCUACUAUAGGCCUUCCAUAGCCUGUGCUCAGUCUACUGCACCGUUAUAUGCAGAACAUGUACAACGUAGGCUAGGCCUUCUACAACCUCGUACCCAGGGCUUCCGCUUGUGACUUUCAGGCAGACGCCCUGGAUACUAGGCAGUGGCGUGACCAGGGUUUACAA